rnacentral:rRNA from 1 species
UACGUAGGGGGCUAGCGUUGUCCGGAUUUAUUGGGCGUAAAGAGCGUGUAGGCGGCCAUGUAGGUCCGGUGUGAAAACUCGAGGCUUAACCUCGAGAUGUCAUCGGAAACCAUUUGGCUAGAGUCCGGAAGAGGAGAGUGGAAUUCCUGGUGUAGCGGUGAAAUGCGCAGAUAUCAGGAAGAACACCAAUGGCGAAAGCAGCUCACUGGGACGGUACUGACGCUGAGACGCGAAAGCGUGGGGAGCGAACAGG